GGUAUGACAAGCCUGCCAAGGGAAGGAAAAUUAACUGGAUGAAGGGUGGAAUAUUAGAAUCAAACCAUUUGAGAAAACUAACUAUGACGGAAAUCGAUUCAUAACCAUUCAGGAUGGUGUGUGGAAAGCCACACCUUUACUUCUGACAGUGGCAGUUAUUGAGCUCAGUGAUAUUGCAUUCGCAGUGGGUUCCCUUCGUCCCUGUCCAUGUUAGGUGUAAACAUUCAAAGAGCUUGAGGAUUUUGUAGUUAGUAUUUUAGUGAUAAUUUGAAGCCCAUUUUCAGGUUUUGGUGUUACUCGAGACCCUUCCGCAAUUUUCACAUCUAAUUUCUUUGCCAUCUUAGGUAACUCUUGGUCGUCAUUCUUCUGAUUUCUCUCAAUUGUACUUAUAAAUUUCUCCCAUAUUUAUGU